CCGACGGUGAGAGAUGAAGCCCUGGGGCGCAAACGGGAUUAGAUACCCCGGUAGUCCAGGGUGUAAACGCUGCGGGCUUGGUGUUGGGGGUCCUUAGUGGGCGCCCAGUGCCGGAGAGAAGUUGUUAAGCCUGCUGCUUGGGGAGUACGUCCGCAAGGAUGAAACUUAAAGGAAUUGGCGGGGGAGCACCGCAACGGGAGGAGCGUGCGGUUCAAUUGGAUUCAACGCCGGACAACUCACCAGGAGCGACGAUUACAUGAAGGCCAGGCUGAUGACCUUGCCUGAUUUUUCGAGAGGUGGUGCAUGGCCGUCGUCAGUUCGUACUGUAAAGCGUUCUCUUAAGUGAGAUAACGAACGAGACCCUCACUAAUAAUUGCU
rnacentral:rRNA from 1 species